rnacentral:piRNA from 1 species
UAUCCGGCGGGUGCUCACUGUGACAGU